rnacentral:rRNA from 1 species
AGAUUUUUGUGCAAUCAAUAUAGAUUGAAUAAGAUUUAUUUAUUAAUUUUUUUAUUUGUUUAUUUAAAUUAUUAAAAAUAAUUAUAGAAAUAAUUGUUUAAGUAUUGUAUAAAGAAUAAAUAAUUUUAAUUAUAGUUAAUUAGUAUUGUGAAAGAAUAUUGAAAUAAUUUGAAAAAUUUUUAUAAUAUAAGAAAAUUUGAUUUAUUGUACCUUGUGUAUCAGGGUUUUUUAAAUAAAAAAUAAUUAUUUAUUUUUCUCGAUUUUAAAAGAGUUAAUAAAACAUAAAAGUUAAUGUAAUAAAAUUAUUUUUCAUGUUUUAUUAGAAAUGAAAUGUUAUUCGUUUUUAAUGGUAUCUAGUUUUUUUAGAAAUAAAUUUAAUUUAGAAGUUUUAAAUUAUUGAAUUAUUUAUUAAUUUAAUUAUUUUAAAAUUUUAAUAUUUUAAGGGAUAAGCUUUAAAAUAAAUUAUUAAAAAUAAUUUUUAAUAUAUUAAAAAAGUAUGCUUAGAAUUAGCAACCUUUAAUAAAUUUGUUAUAAUUUAUUUUAACAUAUAUAUUAUUUAAUAAAUUUUAAAUUUUUAUAAAAAUCUUUUUAUUAAUAUAAAUUAAAAGUAAUAAUGAAAAAAUUAGUAUAUAUUAUUGUAAAAAUAAAUAAAAAUGAUAAGUUUUAGUAAAGAAUUCGGCAAAAAUAAUAUUCGCCUGUUUAACAAAAACAUGUCUUUUUGUAAUAAAUAUAAAGUCUAACCUGCCCACUGAAAUUUUUAAAUGGCCGCAGUACACUAACUGUGCAAAGGUAGCAUAAUCAUUAGUCUUUUAAUUGAAGGCUGGUAUGAAUGGUUGGACGAGAUAUUAACUGUUUCAUUUGAAAUUAUAAUAGAAUUUUAUUUUUUAGUCAAAAAGCUAAAAUAAAUUUAAAAGACGAGAAGACCCUAUAAAUCUUUAUAUUUUAUUUAUAUUAAUUAAUUAGAUGAUUUUUAUUAUUAUAAAUUAAAAUAUUUUAUUGGGGUGAUAUUAAAAUUUGAUAAACUUUUAAUUUAUUAAAUACAUUAAUUUAUGAAUAAUUGAUCCAUUAAUAAUGAUUAAAAAUUUAAGUUACUUUAGGGAUAACAGCGUAAUUUUUUUGGAGAGUUCUUAUCGAUAAAAAAGAUUGCGACCUCGAUGUUGGAUUAAGAUAUAAUUUUAGGCGCAGCCGUUUAAAUUUUAAGUCUGUUCGACUUUUAAAUUC